rnacentral:rRNA from 1 species
GAGUUUGAUUCUGGCUCAGAUUGAACGCUGGCGGCAUGCUUUACACAUGCAAGUCGAACGGCAGCGAGGAAGUGCUUGCACUUCUGUCGGCGAGUGGCGAACGGGUGAGUAACGCAUCGGAACGUACCGAGUAGUGGGGGAUAACUGUCCGAAAGGAUGGCUAAUACCGCAUACGCUUUGAGAAGGAAAGCGGGGGACCAUUUGGCCUCGCGCUAUUCGAGCGGCCGAUGUCUGAUUAGCUGGUUGGUGGGGUAAAGGCCUACCAAGGCGACGAUCAGUAGCGGGUCUGAGAGGAUGAUCCGCCACACUGGGACUGAGACACGGCCCAGACUCCUACGGGAGGCAGCAGUGGGGAAUUUUGGACAAUGGGGGGAACCCUGAUCCAGCCAUGCCGCGUGUCUGAAGAAGGCCUUCGGGUUGUAAAGGACUUUUGUCAGGGAAGAAAAGGUUGCGGUUAAUACCCGCGACUGAUGACG